AUUGAACGCUGGCGGCAGGCUUAACACAUGCAAGUCGAGCGGGGUUUUCGGACCUAGCGGCGGACGGGUGAGUAAUGCGUAGGAAGCUGCCCGAUAGAGGGGGAUACCAGUUGGAAACGACUGUUAAUACCGCAUAAUGUCUACGGACCAAAGUGUGGGACCUUCGGGCCACAUGCUAUCGGAUGCGCCUACGUGGGAUUAGCUAGUUGAUGAGGUAAUGGCUCACAAAGGCGACGAUCUCUAGCUGGUUUGAGAGGAUGAUCAGCCACACUGGAACUGAGACACGGUCCAGACUCCUACGGGAGGCAGCAGUGGGGAAUAUUGGACAAUGGGCGCAAGCCUGAUCCAGCCAUGCCGCGUGUGUGAAGAAGGCCUUCGGGUUGUAAAGCACUUUCAGUAAGGAGGAAGCGUUGAGUGUUAAUAGUACUCAGCGUUGACGUUACUUACAGAAGAAGCACCGGCUAACUCUGUGCCAGCCGCCGCCGUAAAAC
rnacentral:rRNA from 1 species